GAGCGGCCGUAAAUACCGGAGGAAGGUGGGGAUGACGUCAAAUCAUCAUGCCCCUUAUGACCUGGGCUACACACGUGCUACAAUGGUUGGUACAACGAGUUGCGAGUCGGUGACGGCGAGCUAAUCUCUUAAAGCCAAUCUCAGUUCGGAUUGUAGGCUGCAACUCGCCUACAUGAAGUCGGAAUCGCUAGUAAUCGCGGAUCAGCACGCCGCGGUGAAUACGUUCCCGGGCCUU
rnacentral:rRNA from 1 species